GGGGAAUAUUGCACAAUGGGGGAAACCCUGAUGCAGCCAUGCCGCGUGUGUGAAGAAGGCCUUCGGGUUGUAAAGCACUUUCAGUCAGGAGGAAGGUGGUGUAGCUAAUAUCUGCACCAAUUGACGUUACUGACAGAAGAAGCACCGGCUAACUACGUGCCAGCAGCCGCGGUGAUACGUAGGGUGCGAGCGUUGUCCGGAAUUAUUGGGCGUAAAGAGCUUGUAGGCGUCCGUCGCGUCGGAAGUGAAAACUCAGGGCUUAACCCUGAGCCUGCUUUCGAUACGGGCAGACUUGAGGGAUGUAGGGGAGAACGGAAUUCCUGGUGGAGCGGUGGAAUGCGCAGAUAUCAGGAGGAACACCAGUGGCGAAGGCGGUUCUCUGGACAUUUCCUGACGCUGAGAAGCGAAAGCGUGGGGAGCAAACA
rnacentral:rRNA from 1 species